GCCGAAGUGGUGGAAUUGGUAGACACGCUAGGUUCAGGGUCUAGUGCGGGUUUCCGCGUGGGAGUUCGACUCUCCCCUUCGGCACCA
rnacentral:tRNA from 2 species